rnacentral:rRNA from 1 species
UACAGAGGGUGCAAGCGUUAAUCGGAAUUACUGGGCGUAAAGGGCGCGUAGGCGGCUUUAUAAGUCGGGGGUGAAAGCCUGUGGCUCAACCACAGAAUUGCCUUCGAUACUGUAUGGCUUGAGACCGGAAGAGGUUAGUGGAACUGCGAGUGUAGAGGUGAAAUUCGUAGAUAUUCGCAAGAACACCAGUGGCGAAGGCGGCUGACUGGUCCGGUUCUGACGCUGAGGCGCGAAAGCGUGGGGAGCAAACAGG